UCUCCGCCAGAGAACUACAAGUGAAAAACUUGAAACUCAAAGGACUUGACGGUAUCCCAUAUCGACCUAGAGGAGCCUGUCCUAUAAUCGAUACCCCUCGCUUCACCCCACCCUAACUAGCACACAUUAUCAGCCUAUAUACCGCCGUCGAUCAGCCUACCCUAUGAAGGUCUAAUAGUAGACACAAUAGCCCAACCGCUAAUACGUCAGGUCAAGGUGUAGCAAAUGUUAGGGAAGAGAUUGGCUACAUUUUUUAUGAUAAAAAACACGAAAAGUAUUAUGAAACAAUACAUGAAGGUGAAUUUAGUAGUAAAAUAGAUAAGAGAGUCUAUUUUAACAACGCUCUGGGAUGCGUACACACCGCCC
rnacentral:rRNA from 1 species